rfam:Ictidomys tridecemlineatus contig000694, whole genome shotgun sequence.
GCGGUUGUGGCUCAGAGGUAGAGCACUCACCUACCAGGUGUGAGGCACUGGGUUCGAUCCUCAGCACCACA